UGGAAAAAUAAUAGUACACGCCAUGUUUCAGAGGUGACAAAAAGCUGACGAAUGGCAUGGAUACCAGCAGUAAGGAGCCCAAGAUUACCUUCGAUAACACUCCACCACACACGAUGGUGUGUUCAAAGCAUUUUCACAAAGGCAAACCUGCCUAUGAAAUGUUGGAGUUUGAUCCUGACUGGACCCCUUCUCUGUACCACGGCCAUACUGAGGUCAAAGCCACGAACGCAGACCGGUUCAAGCCUUUUUGGAGAAUUAUAUACCAUGCUCACAUCUAAUAUGUGAAUGUUUAUUGUUUUCCAAAAGAUUUUGUAAUGUCUCUUCUCACAUGUAAUGAUUUUUAGCCAUGUCUGUAAAUAAAAUACACAAAGACU